UACGUAGGGGGCUAGCGUUGUCCGGAUUUAUUGGGCGUAAAGCGCGUGUAGGCGGCCGGCUAGGUCUGGUGUGAAAACUCGAGGCUCAACCUCGAGAUGUCGCCGGAAACCAGUCGGCUAGAGUCCGGAAGAGGAGAGUGGAAUUCCUGGUGUAGCGGUGAAAUGCGCAGAUAUCAGGAAGAACACCUAUGGCGAAAGCAGCUCUCUGGGACGGUACUGACGCUGAGACGCGAAAGCGUGGGGAGCGAACAGGAUUAGAUACCCUAGUAGU
rnacentral:rRNA from 1 species